GAUUAACGCUGGCGGCGUGCAUAACACAUGCAAGUCGAACGAUGAAACUUUAAUGAACCCUUCGGGGAGAAUUAAAGCGGAUUAGUGGCGAACGGGUGAGUAACGCGUGAGUAACCGGCCUUACACAAGGGGAUAGCCUUUGGAAACGAAGAAUAAUACCCUAUAAAACCAUAAAAUCACAUGCAAUUAUGGUCAAAGUGAUAGGGGUGUAAGAUGGACUUGCGUCUGAUUUGCUAGUUGGUGAGAGAAAAGACCACCAAGGCAACGAUCAGUAGCCGGCUUGAGAGAGUGUACGGCGGCAUUGGGACUCAGACAAGACCCAGACGCCAACGGGAGGCAGCAGUGGGGAAUUUAGCACAAUAGGCGAAACCCUGAUGCGGCGAGGCCGCGUGAUUUAGAAGGCCUUCGGGUUGUAAAAAUCUUUUGUAUAGGAAGAAAAUGACGGUACUAUACGAAUAAGGUCCGGCUAAUUACGUG
rnacentral:rRNA from 1 species